rnacentral:rRNA from 1 species
UACGGAGGGUGCGAGCGUUAAUCGGAAUUACUGGGCGUAAAGGGUGCGUAGGUGGUAUAAUAAGUCAUAUGUAAAAUACCUGAGCUCAACUUGGGGGCGUCAUAUGAGACUGUUUUACUUGAGUAUAGGAGAGGGUAGUGGAAUUUCCGGUGUAGCGGUGAAAUGCGUAGAGAUCGGAAGGAACAUCAGUUGCGAAGGCGUCUACCUGGCCUGAUACUGACACUGAGGCACGAAAGCGUGGGGAGCAAACAGG